rnacentral:rRNA from 1 species
CGGCAAUAGCUCAAAUUUGAAAUCUGACUCUCGGGUCCGAGUUGUAAUUUGUAGAGGAUGUUUCGGGCAAGGCUUCGGUUCAAGUUCCUUGGAACAGGACGUCACAGAGGGUGAGAAUCCCGUCUCGAACUGUCCGCCGCGUCCGUGUGAAACUCCUUCGAC